rnacentral:tRNA from 1 species
GCCUGGGUGGCUUAGUUGGUUAAGUGUCUGACUUUGGCUCAGGUCAUGAUCUCAGUUUGUGAGUUCAAGCCCCAUGUUGGGCU